rnacentral:rRNA from 1 species
AGUGAACGCUGGCGGUAGGCCUAACACAUGCAAGUCGAACGGCAGCACAGGAGAGCUUGCUCUCUAGGUGGCGAGUGGCGGACGGGUGAGGAAUACAUCGGAAUCUGCCCAGUCGUGGGGGAUAACGUAGGGAAACUUACGCUAAUACCGCAUACGACCUUCGGGUGAAAGAGGGGGAUCGCAAGACCUCUCGCGAUUGGAUGAGCCGAUGUCGGAUUAGCUAGUUAGCGGGGUAAUGGCCCACCAAGGCGACGAUCCGUAGCUGGUCUGAGAGGAUGAGCAGCCACUCUGGAACUGAGACCCGGUCCAGACCCCUACGGGGGGCAGCAGUGGGGAAUUUUGGCCAAUGGGCGCAAGCCUGACCCAGCCAUCCCGGGGGGGUGAAGAGGGCCUUCGGGUUUUAAGGCCCUUUUGUUGGGAAAAAAAUUUUUCAGGCUAAUCCCCUGGGGGGAUGCCGGUACCCAAAGAAUAACCCCCGCCUACCCCCGG